AGUGAACGCUGGCGGUAGGCCUAACACAUGCAAGUCGAACGGCAGCACAGUAAGAGCUUGCUCUUACGGGUGGCGAGUGGCGGACGGGUGAGGAAUACAUCGGAAUCUACUUUUUCGUGGGGGAUAACGUAGGGAAACUUACGCUAAUACCGCAUACGACCUACGGGUGAAAGCAGGGGAUCUUCGGACCUUGCGCGAUUGAAGGAGCCGAUGUCGGAUUAGCUAGUUGGCGGGGUAAAGGCCCACCAAGGCGACGAGCCGUAGCUGGUCUGAGAGGAUGGUCAGCCACACUGGAACUGAGACACGGUCCAGACUGCUACGGGAGGCAGCAGUGGGGAAUAUUGGACAAUGGGCGCAAGCCUGAUCCAGCCAUACCGCGUGGGUGAAGAAGGCCUUCGGGUUGUAAAGCCCUUUUGUUGGGAAAGAAAAGCAGCAGGUUAAUACCCCGCUGUUCUGACGGUACCCAAAGAAUAAGCACCGGCUAACUUCGUG
rnacentral:rRNA from 1 species